GAUGAACGCUGGCGGCGUGCCUAAUACAUGCAAGUCGAGCGAACAGACGAGGAGCUUGCUCCUCUGACGUUAGCGGCGGACGGGUGAGUAACACGUGGAUAACCUACCUAUAAGACUGGGAUAACUUCGGGAAACCGGAGCUAAUACCGGAUAAUAUAUUGAACCGCAUGGUUCAAUAGUGAAAGACGGUUUUGCUGUCACUUAUAGAUGGAUCCGCGCCGCAUUAGCUAGUUGGUAAGGUAACGGCUUACCAAGGCAACGAUGCGUAGCCGACCUGAGAGGGUGAUCGGCCACACUGGAACUGAGCCACGGUCCAGACUCCUACGGGAGGCAGCAGUAGGGAAUCUUCCGCAAUGGGCGAAAGCCUGACGGAGCAACGCCGCGUGAGUGAUGAAGGUCUUCGGAUCGUAAAACUCUGUUAUUAGGAAAGAACAAAUGUGUAAGUAACUAUGCACGUCUUGACGGUACCUAAUCAGAAAGCCACGGCUAACUACGUG
rnacentral:rRNA from 1 species